UGAAAGGAGCAGGACAUGAUAAUUGAUAAAGAUAAAGCUUACCCAUCACCUUUCUAUCUCAGAGACAGAGACUGGGGGCAAAAUCCUAAUUUGUAGAAUUCACACCAUAUAUUCAACAACUUUCCAGAGAAGAAAUAAAAAGAGUUCACAAUGGGGAGUCGUGGACAGAUUGCAAACAAGGAGAUGAAGGUGGAGAUUCCAUCGGAUGCUGAACUUAUGUCUAGGAUUACAAGACAGCCAAGUGCUGCGAAGAGCAAUUGUCUAUGCUCUCCGACCACGCAUGCAGGUUCCUUCCGGUGCCGGCUUCACCGCUCCCCAAGCCUCCAGCGAACCAGAAGCAUGGACUUCACAACCCCUCGGGAUGCAACAUCUAAGCCUAAUACUUCCACUGCUGAUGCUACUAGUAACCAGAACACACUACAUGCCUACUCAUCAAUUACUGAUUCUCAUGACUAAGUGUAUGUUCUUGCUGCUAUAUACAAUUUCUAAAGCACCGUAUCUUUGUC